AAUCAACUGAAUUUUAUUUGGCUUUGUUUGUUUGUUUUUCCAUUUCAGCAAACAUCAGUACUCCUCCUCUCCAACUGUCAUUGACAAAUUUAAUAUGAAAAUAUUCUGAGAUUGACUUCUGAAGAGCAAGGCCUGAGUCGCUUGGGGAAAAUAAGAGAAACCUUGUUUAUUGGGGGAAUGGGAAAGUCAAUAAAUCCCUGACGAGCUUUGAUCCUAAUAGAGCAACAGACAGAAGACACAGAUAUUUUUCCAAAUGCCCUGGAUGAAAACAGAGAUUAUUAGAAAGGACAUAAGUGAAAAAGACUGCUCCAGAAAUGUUUUAGAUAACAUGUUACAGUCCCUCUCAACUGCAAAGGAAUCUUGGGAGGAAGAGAAAGAAGGAUUUUUGCAUGAAGUCAACCAGCAAGCAACACAAUUAGAGACCAUGUACUUACCAAUAAUAACAGUGUUGUCAUCAGCAAUUAGCAACUUGCUGUGGACAUAGAUGAGCUCAGUGACUAGGUUUCCUUCAAGCUCUGCAUGUGUUCUAAGGCCACAGAAUGAUAUGUAAUUUAUCCACUGAUUGCCAACUAUAAAGUAAAAAAGAAAGUAUUCAAAUGAAUAUGACCUAGCUCAAUAAAAGCACAUUACAUUUUA